rnacentral:rRNA from 1 species
AUUGAACGCUGGCGGCAUGCUUUACACAUGCAAGUCGAACGGCAGCGGGGUAGUGCUUGCACUACUGCCGGCGAGUGGCGAACGGGUGAGUAAUAUAUCGGAACGUACCGAGUAAUGGGGGAUAACCAAUCGAAAGAUUGGCUAAUACCGCAUACGUCCUGAGGGAGAAAGCGGGGGAUCGCAAGACCUCGCGUUAUUCGAGCGGCCGAUAACUGAUUAGCUAGUUGGUGGGGUAAAGGCCUACCAAGGCGACGAUCAGUAGCGGGUCUGAGAGGACGAUCCCCCCACGUGGGGCUGGGAACGGGCCCAGCCCCCCACGGGGGGCAGGAGGGGGGAAUUUUGGAAAAGGGGGGCAACCCUGAUCCAGCCAUGCCGGGGGUAUGAAGAAGGCCUGCGGGUUGGAAAGUACUUUUGUUGGGGAAAAAAAGGGAAGGGCUAAGCCCCCUUUUUGCUGACGGUACCAAAAAAAUAAGCACCGGCUAACUACGG